rnacentral:rRNA from 1 species
GACGAACGCUGGCGGCGUGCUUAACACAUGCAAGUGGAGCGACGAAGCGGGCUUCGGCCCGUGGCAGAGCCGCGAACGGGUGAGUAACACGUGGGUAACCUGCCCCGAUGACUGGGACAACCUGGGGAAACCAGGGCUAAUACCGGAUGUACUCUCACCACACCCGUGGUGAGGGGAAAGGUAGCUGCGGCUUCCGCCUCGGGAUGGGCCCGCGGCCCAUUAUCUUGUUGGUGGGGUAAUGGCCUACCAAGGCUGCGAUGGGUAGCUGGUCUGAGAGGACGAUCAGCCACACUGGGACUGAGACACGGCCCAGACUCCUACGGGAGGCAGCAGUGGGGAAUCUUGCGCAAUGCGCGAAAGCGUGACGCAGCAGCGCCGCGUGGGGGAAGAAGGCCUUCGGGUUGUAAACCCCUUUCAGGAGGGACGAAGCCUGGCUGGUGAAUAGCCAGUCCAGGUGACGGUACCUCCACAAGAAGCCCCGGCUAACUACGUGCCAGCAGCCGCCGUAACAC